rnacentral:rRNA from 1 species
UACGUAGGGUGCAAGCGUUAAUCGGAAUUACUGGGCGUAAAGCGUGCGCAGGCGGUUGUGCAAGACCGAUGUGAAAUCCCCGGGCUUAACCUGGGAAUGGCAUUGGUGACUGCACGGCUAGAGUGUGUCAGAGGGGGGUAGAAUUCCACGUGUAGCAGUGAAAUGCGUAGAGAUGUGGACGGAAUACCGAUGGCGAAGGCAGCCCCCUGGGAUAACACUGACGCUCAUGCACGAAAGGCGUGGGGAGCAAACAGG